AUUGAACGCUGGCUGCAGGCCUAACACAUGCAAGUCGAACGAGUGGCGGACGGGUGAGUAAUGCCUGUGAAAAUCCCUGAUGGUGGGGGAUAACUACUGUAAACGGGAGCUAAUACCACAUACCAUCGGAUGUGUCCAGAUGGGUUUAGCUAGUAGGUGGGGUAAAGGCUCACCUAGGCGACGUUCCAUAGCUGGUCGGUGAGGAUGACCAGGCCCACUAGAUGUGAGCCACGGUACAGACUACUCCGGGACGCAGCAGAGGGGAAUAUUGCACUAGGGGCGCAAGCCUGAUGUAGCCCUGCCGCGUGGAGGAAGAAGGCAUUCGGGUUGUAAAGUUAUUUCAGCGGUGAGGAGUUACUAGCAGAAGAAGCACCGGCUAACUCCGUGCCAGCAGCCGCGGUAAUAC
rnacentral:rRNA from 1 species